UACGGGGGGGGCAAGCGUUGUUCGGAAUUACUGGGCGUAAAGGGCUCGUAGGCGGCCAACUAAGUCAGACGUGAAAUCCCUCGGCUUAACCGGGGAACUGCAUCUGAUACUGGAUGGCUUGAGUUCGGGAGAGGGAUGCGGAAUUCCAGGUGUAGCGGUGAAAUGCGUAGAUAUCAGGAGGAACACCAGUGGCGAAGGCGACUACCUGGCCUGUUCUUGACGCUGAGGCGCGAAAGCUAGGGGAGCAAACGGG
rnacentral:rRNA from 1 species